rnacentral:pre_miRNA from 1 species
AGGAGGAACAGCCCCAGUGGCGGGGCAGCUCUGGGAACCUGGAUUCAGCUCCGGCAGGACCUCCGUCUGCAGGGCCUGGAGGCUCCGGGCGGGG